GAUGAACGCUAGCGGCAGGCCUAACGCAUGCAAGUCGAGGGGGAAGUUACUUUCGGGUGACUGAGACCGGCGUACGGGUGCGUAACGCGUAUACAAUCUGCCUUUCACUGGGGGGUAGCCCGAAGAAAUUUGGAUUAAUACCCCAUAGUAUAUAGGGACGGCAUCGUUUUUAUAUUAAAGCUUAGGUGGUGAAAGAUGAGUAUGCGUUCUAUUAGCUAGUUGGAGAGGUAACGGCUCCCCAAGGCGAUGAUAGAUAGGGGUUCUGAGAGGGAUGUCCCCCACACUGGUACUGAGAUACGGACCAGACUCCUACGGGAGGCAGCAGUGAGGAAUAUUGGACAAUGGUCGGAAGACUGAUCCAGCCAUGCCGCGUGCAGGAUGAAGGUCUUAUGGAUUGUAAACUGCUUUUGGAAGGGAAGAAUAAGGGCUACGCGUAGUUUGAUGACGGUACCUUACGAAUAAGCAUCGGCUAACUCCGUG
rnacentral:rRNA from 1 species